rnacentral:rRNA from 1 species
AUUCUAUGGGUAAUACAUGCGCAAAUAUCCUAGUUUUCUUCUUGAGGAGAGGAUAGUGUUUAUUAGAUACAGAACCAAUACACCAUUCUUUUAGGAUGGUGUAAAAAAGGUGAUUCAUAGUAACCGAACGGAUCSCAUUAUAGUCAUUUUGUAUGGCUGGCGAUAGAUCAUUCAAGUUUCUGACCUAUCAGCUUUCGACGGUAGUGUAUUGGACUACCGUGGCAGUGACGGGUAACGGGGAAUUAGGGUUCGAUUCCGGAGAGGGAGCCUGAGAAACGGCUACCACAUCUAAGGAAGGCAGCAGGCGCGCAAAUUACCCAAUCCUGACUCAGGGAGGUAGUGACAAGAAAUAACAACACUGGAAAUUUUAUUUCUAGUGAUUGGAAUGAUGGGAAUUUAAACCCCUUUCAGAGUAACAAUUGGAGGGCAAGUCUGGUGCCAGCAGCCGCGGUAAUUCCAGCUCCAAUAGCGUAUAUUAAAUUUUUUGCAGUUAAAAAGCUCGUAGUUGGAUGUCUGCUGGAAGCAAUCAGUCCGCCCUAUUUGUAGGGUGUGCACUUGAUGAAUUCUGGCAUCUAUGUCCCGAUAAAGAAACGGGCGUUUAGCUGUCGGGRGARNAGCUNGAGAGCUUCGMGUCCGUUUAUUGGGAUAAUACUGUUACUUUGAGAAAAUUAGAGUGUUUGAAGCAGGCUAAUUGCCUUGAAUACUGCAGCAUGGAAUAACAAUAUAGGAUUUCGGUUCUAUUUUGUUGGUUUCUAGGACUGAAAUAAUGAUUAAUAGGGACAGUUGGGGGCAUUCGUAUUUAACUGUCAGAGGUGAAAUUCUUAGAUUUGUUAAAGACGAACUACUGCGAAAGCAUUUGCCAAAGAUGUUUUCAUUAAUCAAGAACGAAAGUUAGGGGCUCGAAGACGAUCAGAUACCGUCGUAGUCUUAACCAUAAACUAUGCCGACUAGAGAUAGGAAAAUGUCAUUUUGCUGACUUCUCCUGCACCUUAUGAGAAAUCAAAGUCUUUGGGUUCUGGG